rnacentral:rRNA from 1 species
GACGAACGCUGGCGGCGUGCUUAACACAUGCAAGUCGAACGGAAAGGCCCUGCUUUUGUGGGGUGCUCGAGUGGCGAACGGGUGAGUAACACGUGAGUAACCUGCCCUUGACUUUGGGAUAACUUCAGGAAACUGGGGCUAAUACAGGAUAGGAGCUCCUGCUGCAUGGUGGGGGUUGGAAAGUUUCGGCGGUUGGGGAUGGACUCGCGGCUUAUCAGCUUGUUGGUGGGGUAGUGGCUUACCAAGGCUUUGACGGGUAGCCGGCCUGAGAGGGUGACCGGCCACAUUGGUACUAAGAGACGGCCCAGACUCCUACGGGAGGCAGCAGGGGGGAAUAUUGCACAAUGGGCGGAAGCCUGAUGCAGAAGCGCCGCGAGCGUGAUGACGGCCUUCGGGGUGUAAACCGCUGUCGCCUGUGACGAAGCGUGAGUGACGGUAAUGGGUAAAGAAGCACCGGCUAACUACGUG